GACGAACGCUGGCGGCGUGCUUAACACAUGCAAGUCGAACGGAAAGGCCCUGCUUUUGUGGGGUUCUCGAGUGGCGAACGGGGGAGUAACACGUGAGUAACCUGCCCUUGACUUUGGGAUAACUUCAGGAAACUGGGGCGAAUACCGGAUAGGAGCUCCUGCAGCAUGGGGGGGGAUGGAAAGUGUCGGCGGUUGGGGAUGGACUCGCGGCUUAUCAGCUUGUUGGUGGGGUAGUGGCUUACCAAGGCUUUGACGGGUAGCCGGCCUGGGAGGGUGACCGGCCACAUUGGGACUGAGAGACGGCGCAGACUCCUACGGGAGGCAGCAGUGGGGAAUAUUGCACAAUGGGCGGAAGCCUGAUGCAGCAACGCCGCGUGCGGGAUGACGGCCUACGGGUUGUAAACCGCUUUCGCAUGUGACGAAGAGUGAGUGACGGUAACGGGUAAAGAAGCACCGGCUAACUACGUG
rnacentral:rRNA from 1 species